ACAAAGUGUAGCUUAUUUUUCUCUUUCAUCUCUUAUUUCCUACUUUUCAACUAAGAAAGAAAGAGAGAGAGAGAGAGAGAGUGAGAGAGCUGCCAUUCGGCAGCCAUGGUGGAGAGAAAGGAGAGUUUUUGGUGAGGCAUCCAAACUCCAUGAUCAAGCUAAGAAGAAGAAGAAGGUUUAGCAAGAAAUCAAGCAAAUGUAUAAUAAAAAUUUAUACUUGUGUAGGUUAAACUUCCUUAGUAUUUUGAUUUGAUUUUUGACAACUUGAAGUUGUGAUCUUGAG
rnacentral:lncRNA from 1 species